rnacentral:rRNA from 1 species
GACGUAUGGGGCCAGCGUUGCUCGGAAUUACUGGGUGUAAAGGGGUCGUAGGCGGUGUGGCAAGUCGGGAGUGAAAUCUCUGGGCUCAACCCAGAGUCUGCUUCCGAAACUGCUGUGCUUGAGUGUGGGAUAGGCGCGUGGAAUUGCAGGUGUAGCGGUGAAAUGCGUAGAUAUCUGCAGGAACACCCGUGGCGAAAGCGGCGCGCUGGACCACUACUGACGCUGAGGAACGAAAGCUAGGGGAGCAAACAGG